AUUGAACGCUGGCGGCAUGCCUUACACAUGCAAGUCGAACGGCAGCGGGCCCUUCGGGGUGCCGGCGAGUGGCGAACGGGUGAGUAAUGCAUCGGAACGUACCCGGGAGAGGGGGAUAACCGGCCGAAAGGCUGGCUAAUACCGCAUGAACUCGGAAGAGCAAAGCGGGGGACCUUCGGGCCUCGCGCUCUCGGAGCGGCCGAUGUCCGAUUAGGCUAGUUGGUGGGGUAAAGGCCCACCAAGGCGACGAUCGGUAGCGGGUCUGAGAGGACGAUCCGCCACACUGGGACUGAGACACGGCACAGACUCCUACGGGAGGCAGCAGUGGGGAAUCUUGGACAAUGGGCGCAAGCCUGAUCCAGCAAUGCCGCGUGGGUGAAGAAGGCCUUCGGGUUGUAAAGCCCUUUCGGCGGGGAAGAAAUCGGUCAGGCGAAUAGUCUGGCCGGAUGACGGUACCCGCAGAAGAAGCACCGGCUAACUACGUG
rnacentral:rRNA from 1 species